AUUGAACGCUGGCGGCAGGCCUAACACAUGCAAGUCGAACGGUAACAGGAAGCAGCUUGCUGCUUUGCUGACGAGUGGCGGACGGGUGAGUUAUGUCUGGGAAACUGCCCGAUGGAGGGGGAUAACUACUGGAAACGGUAGCUAAUACCGCAUAACGUCGCAAAACCAAAGAGGGGGACCUUAGGGCCUCUUGCCAUCGGAUGUGCCCAGAUGGGAUUAGCUAGUAGGUGGGGUAACGGCUCACCUAGGCGACGAACCCUAGCUGGUCUGAGAGGAUGACCAGCCACACUGGAACUGAGACACGGUCCAGACUCCUACGGGAGGCAGCAGUGGGGAAUAUUGCACAACGGGCGCAAGCCUGAUGCAGCCAUGCCGCGUGUAUGAAGAAGGCCUUCGGAUUGUAAAGUACUUUCAGCGGGGAGGAAGGGAGGAAAGUUAAUACCUUGGCUCAUUGACGUUACCCGCAGAAGAAGCACCGGCUAACUCCGUG
rnacentral:rRNA from 1 species